UACGAAGGGGGCUAGCGUUGCUCGGAAUUACUGGGCGUAAAGGGCGCGUAGGCGGCACUGUUAGUCAGGCGUGAAAGUCCUGGGCUCAACCUGGGAACUGCAUUGGAAACUGGCAAGCUCGAGUAUGGCAGAGGGGGGUGGAAUUCCGCGUGUAGCAGUGAAAUGCGUAGAGAUGCGGAGGAACACCGAUGGCGAAGGCAGCCCCCUGGGCCAAUACUGACGCUCAGGCACGAAAGCGUGGGGAGCAAACAGG
rnacentral:rRNA from 1 species